CGAACGCUGGCGGCGUGCUUAACACAUGCAAGUCGAACGGAAAGGCCCUGCUUUUGUGGGGUGCUCGAGUGGCGAACGGGUGGGUAACACGUGAGUAACCUGCCCUUGACUUUGGGAUAACUUCAGGAAACUGGGGCUAAUACCGGAUAGGAGCUCCUGCUGCAUGGUGGGGGUUGGAAAGUUUCGGCGGUUGGGGAUGGACUCGCGGCUUAUCAGCUUGUUGGUGGGGUAGUGGCUUACCAAGGCUUUGACGGGUAGCCGGCCUGAGAGGGUGACCGGCCACAUUGGGACUGAGAUACGGCCCAGACUCCUACGGGAGGCAGCAGUGGGGAAUAUUGCACAAUGGGCGGAAGCCUGAUGCAGCAACGCCGCGUGCGGGAUGACGGCCUUCGGGUUGUAAACCGCUUUCGCCUGUGACGAAGCGUGAGUGACGGUAAUGGGUAAAGAAGCACCGGCUAACUACGUG
rnacentral:rRNA from 1 species